AAGAUGCAUGCAUCUUAGAUUUAAGUCCUAGUUAUAAGUAUAAUGUAAGAUAGAUUUAAGAUUUAAUAUUAAGACUUAGAUUUU